rnacentral:rRNA from 1 species
UACAGAGGUCCCAAGGCGUUGUUCGGAUUCAUUGGGCGUAAAGGGUGCGUAGGCGGCGCGGUAAGUCGGGUGUGAAAUCUCGGAGCUUAACUCCGAAACUGCAUUCGAUACUGCCGUGCUUGAGGACUGGAGAGGAGACUGGAAUUUACGGUGUAGCGGUGAAAUGCGUAGAUAUCGUAAGGAAGACCAGUGGCGAAGGCGAGUCCCUGGACAACACCUGACACUGAGGCACGAAAGCUAGGGGAGCAAACAGG